UACGUAGGGGGCAAGCGUUGUCCGGAAUCAUUGGGCGUAAAGCGCGUGUAGGCGGCUCGAUAAGUCUGCUGUGAAAGUUCAGGGCUCAACCCUGAAAUGCCGGUGGAAACUGUCGAGCUAGAGUCCGGAAGAGGCGAGUGGAAUUCCUGGUGUAGCGGUGAAAUGCGCAGAUAUCGGGAAGAACACCCGUGGCGAAGGCGGCACUCUGGGACGGUACUGACGCUGAGACGCGAAAGCGUGGGGAGCGAACAGG
rnacentral:rRNA from 1 species